rnacentral:rRNA from 1 species
UACGUAGGGGGCAAGCGUUGUCCGGAUUUAUUGGGCGUAAAGAGCGUGUAGGCGGCCAGACAGGUCAGCUGUGAAAACUCGAGGCUCAACCUCGAGACGUCGGUUGAAACCGUCUGGCUAGAGUCCGGAAGAGGAGAGUGGAAUUCCCGGUGUAGCGGUGAAAUGCGCAGAUAUCGGGAAGAACACCCGUGGCGAAGGCGACUCUCUGGGACGGUACUGACGCUGAGACGCGAAAGCGUGGGGAGCGAACAGG